rnacentral:rRNA from 1 species
CUUUCUUUGCUGGCGACCGGCGCACGGGUGAGUAACACGUAUCCAACCUGCCCUUUACUCGGGGAUAGCCUUUCGAAAGAAAGAUUAAUACCCGAUAGCAUAAUGAUUCCGCAUGGUUUCAUUAUUAAAGGAUUCCGGUAAAGGAUGGGGAUGCGUUCCAUUAGGUUGUUGGUGCGGUAACGGCCCACCAAGCCUUCGAUGGAUAGGGGUUCUGAGAGGAAGGUCCCCCACAUUGGAACUGAGACACGGUCCAA